GUAUAAAUAGGCUAGGGACUACCUUAAGGUAAUAUAGACCCUCCGAUCUAGAUCGGACGGUCGAGAAAUAUAGGUUAGAGUCUCCAAUUGUUAAACCGGUGAUGGUUUAGGGUAAAACGAGGUUGAUCCGGAUCCAACGGUCACGUCCGCCCGGUUCGGGUCCCGGAAGGUUUUCGGACUACGUUGCGUGUAGGGUCGAUGCACUGUGCGGAGGGGCUAGGCGGAGAUGAGAGGGAAAACGGGCACCCUGCAACAUAUUUUAAAAACAUCGACAACCAUCCGUCGGUAGACCGAAUACGGUGCCGCUACGGUCGAUCGUUCGGGUACCAGACGGACUCCAAUUGCAACGAAACUUGACAUGCGGCCUACCUAAAUAAAGAUACCACCGCACGUCAAAUCUUACCCCAAUCAGAGAAAGUUUUCAUCACACUUUUAAAAACAAGAUUUGAACGAUGCCGCGGCGCGUGCGUGUGCGUGGGCGGUCGGGCUCAGAACGGACAACGACGAGAACCGGCAACUAACAACGGAUGCAAGUUUGAAAACUGGCGGCAACGGAGAUGCCGAUGCAAUGCUGAUGAUGCGCAUGAUGCGAUGAUGAUGCAACAAAUAAAAAUAGACACACGACGGAAACGGAAAUAAAGGGGAAUCUUCUGGGGCGUCGGCAUCGGGCUGUCACAACUCUCCUACACUACAAGAGGAUCUCGCCUCGAGAUCCAAGAAUGAAAGGGGAGAGGAUGAGAAAGAAUAAGAGGUAAGAACUUAGUCGCUUCUUCGACAAAAGAGUGAAACCAACGAUCCUUGAAGGUUGCAAAGAGAUGAGGAAUGAUAUGAGAAACAAGCAAGGAUUCACGGAAAAUUUCGGCAGCACGUCGGUAGGAAAAU
rnacentral:lncRNA from 1 species